AUGAUGUCAAGGUAUAGUUUAAACUGUCUAUUAUUUCAGGCUGAAAAUGACUCAAAAUCCGAGGUCCUCAAUGUCUUUGGAGUUUUGAACAGUCUCAACCCUGUUAAUGUCCGAAGUGAGACGUUCAUACGACUGUGGUCCAAAAUCCAGCUGGAACCUCUUUUGCCCUACAUUACUGGAGAAUUCAUGACCCUGUUGAGCACAAAAGACUUCAGCUGCAGCGCUUAUCAGGCAUUGAUCAAGACACUAAGUGAUGAUCUGGGAUCAAUUACCGAAGAGCAAAAACUAUUGUUAUACAAUCACAGAAGCACAGACGCUCAAAGCAGCCAAUCUGCCUCAAUAAACACAAAGCAACAACAAUUGAUCUUCACUUAUUUCAUCCUACCAUUCCUUUCGAGAAAUGACACAACAGAUCCCGGCUGUGUGUCAAACACCAGUGGAAGCACGGACUGGCUCCAGAGGAACUUUGGCGUAUUUUCAGUUUUUGCAGAACUGUCCGAGUUACAAGUCCUUAAUCCCGGGUUUUCCAGCAUGGAAUCUCUCUCGGCGCUUACCCCAGACCAAGUGGCACAAUGGGCAUUGAGCUCUGGAGCAUUGAAUGACACCAAUGACAUCAACCUUGUGUUUGAGCGGCUGGACGAAGGAAACGCUUUCCAAAAUGUUGACCAGUUUCUGACGCAAUUGACGGCCGAUGCAGAAGUAAUGCAUGUUUGAAAAAACUAAACAUUCAUGCGUUCAACUUGACAAUCAGCAAUGUCUGUGCCUUCCUGUGUGUCCCUUUGUGGAUAGUCAAAUAUUCCCAAUAAUCAAUGCUAAAUCUAUUAAUCUCGUACUUUAACCCCAUCUAAGCUUGUUGGAAUUCCACAGUGAUUCAUGUAGUAUUGAUGAACUCUGGUCCUGUUUUUCAGCAGAUUCCUGACAUCCUUCCGGCCGUGAGGGACGUAAUGAUGAAUCUGACAUUUAGCAUCAUCAGCCCCGAAUUCCAACGAUUUAAAAGGCUGGACUGGAUUGCAUGGUUCGAAGUAAAGCUGACUCCCAUCCUCCCCAGUUUUAAUGGAGUGAUGCUCACUAAUGCUACGUCAUACGUCAACUGCACCAACUACCAAGUGAUGUAAGGGCCAAGAUCUUCAUAAAACAGACAACGGAUGCGAUAGCUCGUAUCUUUGGCAAUGGCUGGUGUUAAUAUGACGAGUGUAUCUUCUCCCAUUGACAGUGUUAAAGGAAUGUCCGAUGCCUUCCCUAAAAUGACUCCUGAUAGAAGAGAAGAAAUCGCAAUGGUCAUGCUGAAUUACCUGAAGAGAUCUAUACAACUCAUCAAUGGACCAGGUAGGACACACCAAGCUGGUUGUUGUUUUCUUUGGCUUUCUGACAGGUGUUUCAUCACGUUUGCUAGAUGAUAUGCGCUUUGUUGGAAAUGAGCAAGCAACAUGUCACUUCCUUUACUAUUGAAUGUAACAUCAGUGUACUCCACAUUUCAAUAAUGAAAAUGGCCAUAUGUGUUUUAGCUUGCACCCAGGGCAUUCAAAACGAUGCAGACUGGCUUGAGAUCAACCUGGGUCUAUUCUCUCAAUACGUAUCCUAUUCGGAUCUCACACACUUCAACAUCUCAGGGGUAUAACAGUUGUUUACCAGUUUCCUUUGCAUAAUCAUAAUUGACUUGUUUGACGUUGUUCAAGUGUGGAACAAUGGCUAUUUACAGGGGUCAAUGAUUUGUCUUUUUCCCCCUCUUCUCUACGAAGGUGGCAGUUCUAGACAUCCUCUCACCAAAUCAGAGAGCUGAACUGAUAUUUGACCAAAGCAGUGGCGCUCUGGAGAAUGUCACUCUUGUCAGGGAAGUUUUCAUCAGCUUGGUGGAAUCUGACGUGCAGCUAGAGGAGUUCUUUGUGACUUUUGUCAAAAUCACCAAGCAGGUGAGUACACCACGCUCUGGUUGGAUUGGACCUUGUCUAGUAAGACCCGGCUGUUGUGAAAUCCACCUGACUUGACAAUCAGAAUGCAAGGAUGUUAUACUAAGGCAUGAACCAUUUCAUUUCCAGGAAAACAUCACCAUCAUCACAAACACAGAUGUAAGAGACACAAUGCUAAACCUGACCUUGACGGCUCUUGCUCCCCAAUUCUACGUCUUUGAGCCAAAAGACUUCCAGCUUUGGUUCCAAGUCAAUCUGGAUGUUCUACUAGCCAGUUUCAAUCCUUCCAGUUUGGUUGUUAUCCCCCUGAACAUCACCUGUGAAUCAUACGACGCCAUGUAAGGGACUUAUUUUCCCGCAGCCAUAUCAAAAAACACAUCUUUAAGUACAGAUUCAUGAAAGGCUGCAUUAACAUCUCCCACUCCCAUUCCCUUAGAUUUACAGGUCUCAACCAAAGUUUGGAAUCUCUUCCACCUAACCUCUCACAGGGUGUGAUGUCCAGCUUGGAUGCAUUGAUGGAGAAAUUCCAACGUAUGUGACACGCUGCUCUUGUUUAACUACAG
rnacentral:lncRNA from 1 species